rfam:Triticum urartu cultivar G1812 contig1076789, whole genome shotgun sequence.
UAUGUACUCCCUCCAUCCAGAAAUACUUGUCCUAGAAAUGAAUGUAUCUAGACUUAUUUUAGUUAUAGAUACAUCCAUUUUAUCCAUUUCUAGGACAAGUAUUUCCGGACGGAGGGAGUAGUGC